ACUGAGUUGGCAGUCCGCGUGGCCAUAUCCACCUCAACCCUCUCUCUCUCCGCUUCGCGAAUGCAGUCCGCGUUAAAAUGUGUGAUUUUUUUCGCGUGCCCUAACGCUUUACCCUCUUCCCCCUUGCGAAGCUUUGCAGCUUCGCAACUUUUGCUUCCCCUUCUCCUUCCCCUGCCAUUCUCUCUUCUCCCUCUGCCACAGUCCUUAUUUCUCCAUUGUAGUUCUCAGAUCUCCCUCCUUGCCAUUUUCUCUUCUCCCUCCCCUGCCCUAAUUCUCCUCCCAGCGAAAUUAGUGUCGUGCCCUAACUUCUUCAAAAGCGCCGCCACGUCUUCUCCUUCCGCGACAGAUUCCUCCUCCCAGCAAGCCUCGUCUUCCUCCUCCUAGCAUUUUCGAAGAGCAAGGAGCAGUGACUUUGAGUAUUCUUUGAGGUACUUCAUGGCAUCAUCAAAUUAUAGCAGCAUUGACAAUACGAGAUUUCAAGAUGUAACAUGUAGGGACUGCGGACAAAGAAUAAUAGUUUGUGUUUCUAGAUCAACCAAGAAUCCCGGAAGAUAAUAUUACAAAUGUGGGCAAUAUGGAUGGCAAAAGUGGGUGACGUCCGAUACUGCUUUAUCUGGCAAAAUUAAAAGUGAACAGAAUGUUUCUCGUGGAGGAAUAAUCAAUGUACCAAAAGUCAUUUGGAUAUCAGUGAUGGUGAACUUGAUUCUUCUAGCCAUAAUCCUGAUUGUGUUGUUAGUUCAUCUGGUUAGUUAGAGUUAAGUAAUGUUGGUGUUCUAAUGUAAUUUGUUAAAUAUUUGUAAUUCUGGACGUAAACUUGGUUUGUUAGUUUAUAUGGUUAAACACUGUUCGAGAAAUUUCUGAAUAUUUAAUUAAAUGUUUAAAUUGCAGUA